rnacentral:ncRNA from 1 species
UCUUUUUUUUUGUGUGAAUGUAGCACUUAAAAUCAGUUUUAAUUAAUUUUUAGCAAUUUAAGUUAAUAAUUAACUUAUUUGGCUUUAGUUGUUAUAAAAUAAUAUAAACUUGGAAAUACACAUGGUUCCUUUGGAAGGGGUGAGAUAAUUAGCAAAAUUUUUUAUAAUUAAAGGUUAUAGAAAAAUUUGUCAAUUUAGUAUUAUUGCUAAGAUAAUGCUUAAUAUAAACACUAACUCCAGUGACAGACGUUAGUCAAUUAGUGUAAGCUUGAACUAGGUUAGUUUAAAUUACGUGCCCGGUUAAUAUGGUGCCAGCAUCCGCGGUUAUACCAUAGGUCAUAAUUAUUUUUUAAGGUUAAAAUGGUUAAAUAAUAACUGUAGUUUAUAAAGUUUAAAUUUUAAAAGUGAAAUUUGUAAAAUUUAUAAAAUUUUAAAUUAAGCUAAAUAGCAUUGAAGCCAUGAAAUUUUAGAUUAAAACUAGGAUUAGAUACCCUAUUAUUCUAAAUCAUAAAUGAAAAUUACCUGAGGACUACGAACGAUAUCUCUAUUGCGGUUAGUUUAAAACUCAAAAAGCUUGGCGGUGCCUUAAACUUUUCAGGGGAACCUGUCUCUUAAUCGAUAGUCCACGAUAUACCUAAUUUUUUUUACUAGUAUGUAUACCGUCGUCAACAGGUGACUUUUAAGAAAACAAAAGUCAGCAGGAAAAAAGCUUGCUUUUUAUGUCAGAUCAAGGUGCAGCUUAUAAAAAAAUGAGGAUGGGUUACAAUUAAUACAUUUUUAAUUACGGAAAUAUGGAUGAAAUUCAUUAUUGAAGGAGGACUUGAAAGUAAAAAUAGAGUUAUAUAAAUAUUUUGAAUGCAGCUCUGAGGCGUGCACACAUCGCCCGUCGCUCUCGUUGAAAAAUGAGAUAAGUCGUAACAUAGUAGUAAUAACGGAAGUUGUUGCUAGAU